UACAGGGGGUGCAAACGUUGCUCGGAAUUAUUGGGCGUAAAGCGCGCGUAGGCGGCUACUUAAGUCGGAUGUGAAAGCCCCUGGCUCAACUGGGGAAGUGCACCCGAAACUGAGUAGCUUGAGUGCAAAAGAGGGCCGCGGAAUUCCCGGUGUAGAGGUGAAAUUCGUAGAUAUCGGGAGGAACACCGGUGGCGAAGGCGGCGGCAUGGGUUGACACUGACGCUGAGGCGCGAAAGCGUGGGGAGCAAACAGG
rnacentral:rRNA from 1 species